AUUGACUUUCUGCUUCACUGGACACUGCUAUUAGGGGUUAUGGAUUUACUUGAAAGAUGAAAGCAUAAAUUAGAGAGAGAUUAGCAUAGAGUAUAUGUUUUCUUAUAGCUGCAUCCUAUGAGUUUUCCUCCAGCACCAUCUCCAUCAGAUACAUGACGCUUGGGAGGUAUGAUUGUUUUAGUGUUUUUGGUCGAUAAGAUUCCGUAAUUAGACCCAUCAUAAUUGUCAG